AGUGGAGUUAGUGGGAGAAGAGACAACUAGAUCUGUAUAGAUCAUGGUGGUCUCCAUACAAAGACCGGUUGCUGAAGAGUGGAUGAUGGAGGGACCACAGGCGAACAUCAGGACAGAAUUCUGCACGAGUCAGCAGCUACAUACACCACAAAGGCUCUUUUAAGAGCCACAUCUCGAGAGCGUCUUUGGCUUUCAGCUACAUACACCACAAAGGCUCUUUUAAGAGCCACAUCUCGAGAGCGUCUUUGGCUUUAAAGUUCUCUACAGUCAACCACACUCACUCAACGACGAUAUCCACAGUUCACACUCUCGGUCAAAACCAAGGUAUGCGUAUUUAUUGUGAUAGAAUUAUUAGACAUUACGCCAGUGGUUCUGAAUUCCAAUCUUGGGGACCCAUAACACUACACAUUCUGGAUGUCUGUCUCAUUUAACAUGCUCUAUUCGGUUUAAGGGGCUUCUAUUAUAUGAUGGGUUGAAUCACAUGUAAAAGACAUCCAAAAUGUGCAAUGCAAGGGUCUUCCAAUACUGGAGUUGAGAACCACUGCAUUUGGCUUAGCAGGUUAGUGCAAUGCAUUCUCUGUGUGUGUGUAUGUGUGUGUGUGUUAGUGUGUGUGUGUUAAUAUCUCAGUACCAUGGAUUGCAAAAAACUUACUGGACAUUGCGAAGGAAGAAAAGCCAAGGCUAAGGUGGACAAACAACUCCAGUCAAUGGAAGCAUUAUCACCAUCAUCAUGGAGGGAGUAUGGUGGCAUGCACAGUGACACAAGCAGCACCGUUGAUGACAACAAUGACUUUAUGGAUGGUUUGUCCCAUAUCGAUGAGCAUGAAUGUGUCACCAUGGCAAGUGCUUCACAUAGCAGUGAAUCUGACACAGACUCAGACACAGAUUCUGAACUGCAUCCAAGUUCCCUGAAUGAUGACUUGGCAACCUGGGCUACAGAACAUAAAAUAACACAUGUGGCACUAAAUUCAUUACUUAAUAUCCUCCGCAAGCACGAUCUGAAUUUGCCAAAAGAUGCCAGGACACUAUUAGGAACAGUGCGUUCAAAUAGAACUGAAGUCCAAAACAAGGCUGGUGGCCAGUACUAUCAUUUUGGUCUACUGGAAUCCAUUUCGGGUGUACUCUACAACAACAUGGACAUUUUGCAGAACAUGAGCAAUCUGAAGCUCCAGGUGAGCAUUGAUGGUCUGCCUCUCUACAAGAGUUCAGCAACUCAAUUCUGGCCCAUUCUUGGAACUGUGCAAAAUUUGGUGCAGGAGGAACCUGUGACAAUAGGUUUAUUUUGUGGUGACAGUAAACCUUACCUCCCUGGAUGAGUAUCUGGAGGACUUCAUCUGUGAAAUAAAAGACUUAAGUCAUGGUUUUGAAUUUGAAGGACUCAAGUUAGCA